rnacentral:rRNA from 1 species
AACGAACGCUGGCGGCAGGCUUAACACAUGCAAGUCGAGCGCCCCGCAAGGGGAGCGGCAGACGGGUGAGUAACACGUGGGAACGUACCUUUUGCUACGGAAUAGCUCCGGGAAACUGGAAUUAAUACCGUAUGUGCCCUUCGGGGGAAAGAUUUAUCGGCAAAAGAUCGGCCCGCGUCUGAUUAGCUAGUUGGUGGGGUAAUGGCCUACCAAGGCGACGAUCAGUAGCUGGUCUGAGAGGAUGAUCAGCCACACUGGGACUGAGACACGGCCCAGACUCCUACGGGAGGCAGCAGUGGGGAAUAUUGGACAAUGGGCGCAAGCCUGAUCCAGCCAUGCCGCGUGAGUGAUGAAGGCCUUAGGGUUGUAAAGCUCUUUCGUCAGGGAAGAUAAUGACGGUACCUGAAGAAGAAGCCCCGGCUAACUUCGUGCCAGCAGCCGCCGCGG